rnacentral:lncRNA from 1 species
AUUCUAUUUUCAGUGGUUGUAGUAAUGACUUGCACAUUUGUAAUAUCUCUUUUUGGCAUUUUUUUGUCGUGGGUAUUGAGUCUGGAAGUAAAAAAAACGGAGAUAGGUGGAGGUUGGUGAGGAACGCUUCCCACCAACAGAUCAAGACAUCUAAAGGCCUGGCACAGUGGCUCAGCCCUGUCUUCCUAGCUCUUUGGGAGUCCCAAACAGGAAGAUUGGUUGAGCCUAGGAGUUUGAGACCAGCCUGGGCAACAUAGUGAGACCCCCAUCUCUACCAAAAAAAAAAAAAAAAUUAACGGGGUAUGGUGGCAUGUGCUUGUAGUCCCAGCUACUUGGGAGGCUGGGGCGGGAGGAUGGCUUGAGCCCAGGAGUUUAAGGCUGCAGUGAGCGGUGAUGGCGCCCUGCACUCCAGCCUGGACAACAGAGCCAGACCCUGUCUUUUUUUUUUUUUUUUAAAGACAUCUCAGGUAUAGGUUUGCUUUUGAGUAACAAAAAUGCACAUGAAACACUUAAAAGAAAACAAAGUUACCUCUUAAAGAUAGUUCUCAGGUAGAUUAGUAACCGUAACUUUGUAAUACCUUCCAAAAUGUGUUUCUUCUUUGAACUUCUAAUUGAAAUGAAACCUGGUUUAAUUAGCAUGUGGCUUCUUGUCUCAGAGAUCAACACUUUUAAAAACCAGGUAGAGAAGUCAAUUUCAAUGUUAAUCUAGGGUGUUUGAAAUUCCCUUUAGCUUUAAAAUGUUUCAAAAUAUCCAACCUAUCAGAUCUAUAGAAAAACAGAUGUUUGUUAAGGAACUUUUCAGCUUGUUUUCACUUCAUUUUCAUUUUUAGUUUGCAUAGACAAAAUAGUUCCUAGUGGUAAUUGUUUCCAGUGAAAAGAAGUUCAAGGCAAAUUGAAAAUAUUUUUUGAAUGAGCUCAAGCGAUUUACAAUUUAUGUAGAAUGCAGUAUUGCUCAUUCUGUACUCUUACUCAUAAGUGAUAUUGUUUGAUCAUUGUUAGCAUGUUAGGUACAAGAUCAAUGAUUUUUGCUUGAUAAUACCUUGUACUUAAAAGUGUUUUUAGUGUUUAUUUAUCCUCUGGUUUUAAUGUGGUGGAGUCAUAAUACAUAAAAGAGAAUAUUCACUAGACCCAUCUUUUGGGUUACACCCAUUAACACAAAAGUUGUAAUGUUUUCUAAAAUGCCUUCAUUUAAUUGCCAACUAUGCUGAACUUUUCACAAGUCACAUCAAUAGUGAGUCACUUAAAUAAAAAUUCACCAGUGUGUACAACAGAACAAAAGAAAGACGCAAAAGAAGUUUCAGCCUCUAGACAGAUGUAGAAUUUUCAAAAGGCACAAAGAGAUAACUUUUUGUCGACUUCUCAUCCUAUAGAAGAGCUGUAAGAAAAAUACUAAAGAGUCUAAUACCUUGUAAACAUUAAUAGAAAACUAGUAUUUCAGCAGGUGUGCCUGUUGCUUUUUAUACUGAAC